GAUCCGGGGUCUCGGGAGCUCUGGGUUUGGGAUGGGCUUCCAACAUCACCGAGUCCAGCAGCUAAGUCAGCGCUGCUGUGCUCACCACUAAAGCAUGUCCCCGAGCGCCACAUCUACACGUGAUUUUAGCGCUUCCAGGGACUGUGAUUCCACCGCUUCCCCGGGCAGGCCGUUCCAAUGCUCGACCACCCUUUCUGUGAAACUUUCAGCACCAACAAGGGUGAGUGGAUUCCUGAGAAUGACUGAAAACUCUGCUGGUGAGUGAGGUUAUUAAAAUCAUAGAAUCAUAGCACUGUUUAGGUCAGAAAAGACCUUUAAGAAUCUCUCAGCAUGGAGCAUUUUGAACAAAUCUUCACAGGGAGCCAAGCACUUGGUGCUGUGCAUUGUCAUUUCUAGAAACAGGCUGUUGUACCACUGCUAGAGGCAAUGUUGUAAGAUGCCUUUUGUACAUGGUGAAUACUGGAACAUGGUAGGUACACUGACCUACCUUAUGCCACUUAUUUCUGGCCAUAGGUAAGGCAGAGCAGCUCCCUCUCCUACCACUCUCCUCUGCCAUGCACAGGAAAAGAUUCGAGCUGUUCUCACAGCUCUUGCCUACAUCUCUGCAUAACUGAAUUUGAAAUGUGAAUAUUGAAA